GACGAACGCUGGCGGCGUGCAUAACACAUGCAAGUCGAGCGAUGAAGCUCCUUCGGGAGUGGAUUAGCGGCGGACGGGUGAGUAACACGUGGGUAACCUGCCUCAUAGAGGGGAAUAGCCUUCCGAAAGGAAGAUUAAUACCGCAUCAGAUUGUAGUUCCGCAUGGAACAGCAAUUAAAGGAGCAAUCCGCUAUGAGAUGGACUCGCGUCGCAUUAGCUAGUUGGUGAGGUAACGGCUCACCAAGGCGACGAUGCGUAGCCGACCUGAGAGGGUGAUCGGCCACAUUGGGACUGAGACACGGCCCAGACACCUACGAGAGGCAGCAGUGGGGAAUAUUGCCCAAUGGGGGAAACCCUGAUGCAGCAACGCCGCGUGAGUGAUGACGGUCUUCGGAUUGUAAAACUCUGUCUUUGGGAACGAUAAUGACGGUACCCAAGGAGGAAGCCACGGCUAACUACGUGCCAGCAGCCGCCGCCGUAA
rnacentral:rRNA from 1 species